rnacentral:rRNA from 1 species
CGGCUAACUUCGUGCCAGCAGCCGCGGUAAUACGAAGGGACCUAGCGUAGUUCGGAAUUACUGGGCUUAAAGAGUUCGUAGGUGGUUAAAAAAGUUGGUGGUGAAAUCCCAGAGCUUAACUCUGGAACUGCCAUCAAAACUUUUUAGCUAGAGUAUGAUAGAGGAAAGCAGAAUUUCUAGUGUAGAGGUGAAAUUCGUAGAUAUUAGAAAGAAUACCGAUUGCGAAGGCAGCUUUCUGGAUCAUUACUGACACUGAGGAACGAAAGCAUGGGUAGCGAAGAGGAUUAGAUACCCUCGUAGUCCAUGCCGUAAACGAUGUGUGUUAGACGUUGGAAAUUUAUUUUCAGUGUCGCAGCGAAAGCAUUAAACACACCGCCUGGGGAGUACGACCGCAAGGUUAAAACUCAAAUGAAUUGACGGGGACCCGCACAAGUAGUGGAGCAUGUGGUUUAAUUCGAAGAUACGCGCAGAACCUUACCAACACUUGACAUGUUCGUCGCGACUUUAAGAGAUUAAAGUUUUCGGUUCGGCCGGACGAAACACAGGUGCUGCAUGGCUGUCGUCAGCUCGUGUCGUGAGAUGUUGGGUUAAGUCCCGCAACGAGCGCAACCCUCACUUUUAGUUGCCAUCAUUAAGUUGGGCACUCUGAAAGAACUGCCAGUGAUAAGCUGGAGGAAGGUGGGGAUGACGUCAAGUCCUCAUGGCCCUUACGUGUUGGGCUACACACGUGCUACAAUGGCAUUUACAAUAGGAAGCGAGAUGGCGACAUCAAGCAAAUCCUAAAAAGAUGCCUCAGUUCGGAUUGUACUCUGCAACUCGAGUACAUGAAGCUGGAAUUACUAGUAAUCGCGGAUCAGCGCGCCGCGGUGAAUACGUU